UCAUUUUGUGUUUGGAUUUUUUCUUCAUGCAUAGUUUUUUUUUGUUUUGGGUUAGUAAUUAGAAGGAAUUUUAUGUUUUGUAGUAAAUCCUCCCACGGAAAUUGCAGACGCAACAGAGUCGAAGGGCUUCUCUGGAAGUUUCAUCUGUUUUUAUUCAGAGAAGCUUCAUCUACUGCUCACAAUUUCUUCCUUUCUUUUCAAAAUCUGUUUUUAUUCUCACAAUGUUUUCAAACCCGAUUAACUCAACCCAGAACUCGACAAACACGUUGUCAUUGGCGUCGAUGCUCACCACUACUGAUCGUCGUUGUUUCCUUCUCUCUUUUCUCUUUUUCUUCUCUUUUUUCCUGCCUUUUCUUUAAAACACUAAAUAGCUUAAGAACGAAAACCCAGAAAUUGGUCGAUCAUUAUACAACUUGGAUCCCCUUGCUAUUGACCCCUGUUUUAUGUCGUCGACACCACCCAAAGCCACCUAAGAUCUGUUCUCUUUUUUCUACAAGCUAAAUGACCCCAAAUACCUAGAAAUUUCAAAAAAAAACCUAAGAAUCGAAGCUCUCAAAGGAGCCAAAUACCUCGAAAUUCCAAACGAAAAUCCAAGAAUCGAAACUUUCCAAGGUUUACCUUUAUUUCUGGGUUCGACGGAUCUUUAACCAUUGUGGAUGAAUGAAUCGUAAAGAAGUACCAGGUCUUUGUCUCCAACGAAGGCACUAUCAAAGCCACCAAUUUCAAAAAGAUAACAACAGGGAAUAAUGAUAAGGGGCUGAAAAUUUAUGAUCCAAGUUACCUGAAUAUAGCUCCAGUUCGAUUGUCAAUUUCUUAUAUAGAUGGAGAUGAAGGGAUUAUCAGAUACAAGAUACAAAGGGUACCUAAUUGAGGAAUUGGCUGAGAGUUCCACUUUGUUGGAAGUGGUCUACCUCGUAAGAAUAGCUGUUACCUAGUGGUCAUGGGGCUUAUGGUCGGGCUAUCUUCCUAUCAUAAACACUUUUGCCAAAGGUCUUAACAUCCAUUUGAGCCACAGGGUUAAAAAAUAGUGAAGCGCUACCACGGAAUGAAGGUUACUGUGGAAGAUGGAAUUACUUUUAUGGUAGAUGUUGUUAUUGUUGCUGUUCCUUUAAGUGUACUAAAAGCCAAAAGCAUCAUGUUCGAACCAAGGCUUCUAGAGUGGAAGGAAGCAGCCACUGAUGACCUUGGAAUAAGGAUUGAUAAUAAAAUAGCGUUGCACUUUGACAAGAUAUUUUGGCCUAAUAUAGAGUUUUUGGGAGUUGUUGCUAGGACAGCUUAUGAUUGCAGCUACUUUCUAAACCUUUACAAGGCCAGGAUCAUUUUGUCCUUGUGUAUAUGCCUGUUAGGCGGCUGGCCCAAGACAUUGAGAAAAUGUUUGAUGAAGCUACUGCAGAUUUUUCUUUUAUACAACUAAGAAAGAUCCUUUCAGAAGCAUCCACCCCUGUAAGUCAAUUUUUCAAAAAUAUAUUUUGUUCCAAAGUUUAGAGGAUUCUCCUACCUAAGAACUAAAAUGUGGGAUUCUCGAGGAUCCAUAAACUUUCUUCAUUUGUGUCGGUUUGUUGCACCAACAAUUAUAGAUGUUUUAUUUAAGUUAAAAAAUUUUUUACAUUAUUAUAAACUCUC